GAUGAACGCUGGCGGCGUGCCUAACACAUGCAAGUCGAGCGGAGUUUUAAGAAGUGCUUGCACAUUUUAGAACUUAGCGGCGGACGGGUGAGUAACACGUGGGCAACCUGCCUUAAACACUGGAACAACAGCGAGAAAUCGUUGCUAAAACCGGAUAAGCUCACGAAACCGCAUGGGUUUGUGAGAAAAUAUUUAUAGGUUUAAGAGGGGCCCGCGUCUGAUUAGCUAGUUGGUGGGGUAAAGGCCUACCAAGGCCACGAUCCGUAGCCGACCUGAGAGGGUGAUCGGCCACAUUGGGGCUGAGAAACGGCCCAAAAUCCGUCGGGAGGCAGCAGUAGGGAAUCUUCCACAAUGGGCGAAAGCCUGAUGGAGCAACGCCGCGGGAGUGAAGAAGGUUUUCGGAUCGUAGAACUCUGUUGUAAGGGAAGAACAAGUACAGUAGUAACUGGCUGUACCUUGACGGUACCUUAUUAGAAAGCCACGGCCAACUACGUGCCAGCCGCCGCCGUAAGAC
rnacentral:rRNA from 1 species